rnacentral:lncRNA from 1 species
CGAAACUUAAUGUUGAAAUAAACAAAAGAUAAAAUUUGCUCCGUUCUGGCUCCUUGCUGUGCUCCUCUCAGUUUUACUUGCAACUGCUGGUGCUGGAAAAUUGCUAGUAAGAAGAAUCAGAACAUGGUACAAACAACCUAUCCCAUCUUAGAUUCCAUUCAUUUUGAUGAACAGCUGAUGAAUUAACAUUUCUCUUACCCUGUUUCCUAGUCAGAAUCAGCAUCAAAUGAACAGCUGAUGAAUUAACAUUUCUCUUACCCUGUUUCCUAGUCAGAAUCAGCAUCAGUAUCUGGAUCAGCAUCAACAAUGCCUGGAAACGAGUCCAUAGAUGAGUCACUAUCCAAAUGCACCAUAGAUGAACUACCCUUCUUGGCAUUUGGCAAGGUUGAUGAAGUUUUUCCAGCAACAUGAUCAAAGCCAUCAA